rnacentral:rRNA from 1 species
AGCGGCGGGCGAACGGGGAGAAGCCCAGAGCCUGAAUCAGGCUGUGUGUUCAUGGAGGCGUCGGGAAAGGCACGCGAUACAGGGUGACAGCACCGUCCACAAAAAUGCACAUACUGUGAGCCAGAAGGACAGGGCGGGACACGUUAUAUCCUGUCUGAAUAUUGGGGGACCACCAUCCAUGGCCAAAUACUCCUGACUUACCUACAGUGAACAAGUACCGUGCGGGCACGGCGAAAAGAAACCCGGCGAAGGGGGAGCAAAAGAACCUGGAACCGAGGACGCACAAACCGUACGAGCCGCGUUAUGUGGG